rnacentral:rRNA from 1 species
UGGUGUUCCCGAGUAGCAGCGUUUCCGUGGAGGGUGCUGUGAAUCUGGCGGGACCACUCGCUAAGCCUAAAUACUUCCUGGUGACCGAUAGUGGAUAGUACCGUGAGGGAAUGGUGAAAAGUACCCCGGGAGGGGAGUGAAAGAGUUCCUGAAACCGUGUGCCUGCAAACCGUCAGAGCAACCUUAGCAGUUGUGAUGGCGUGCCUUUUGAAGAAUGAGCCUGCGAGUUACUGCUGCGUGGCGAGGUUAACCCGUUGGGGGUAGCCGGAGCGAAAGCGAGUCUGAAUAGGGCGUCUGAGUCGCGUGGUGUAGACCCGAAGCGGAGUGAUCUACCCAUGGCCAGGGUGAAGCGCGGGUAAGACCGUGUGGAGGCCCGAACCCACCAGGGUUGAAAACCUGGGGGAUGAGUUGUGGGUAGGGGUGAAAGGCCAAUCAAACUCCGUGAUAGCUGGUUCUCCCCGAAAUGCAUUUAGGUGCAGCGUUGCGUGUUGCUUGGGUGGGGUAGAGCACUGGUUGGUUGAUGGGCCUUCGCGGGUUACUGAGAUCAGCCAAACUCCGAAUACAUCUGAGUUGAGCGUGGCAGUGAGACGGUGGGGGAGAAGCUUCAUCGUCGAGAGGGAAACAGCCCAGAGCAUCGGCUAAGGCCCCUAAGUGUGCGCUUAGUGGGAAAGGAUGUGGGAUCGCUGAGACAACCAGGAGGUUGGCUUAGAAGCAGCCAUCCUUGAAAGAGUGCGUAAUAGCUCACUGGUCAAGUGGUCCUGCGCCGACAAUGUAGCGGGGCUGAAGCGCACCGCCGAAGCCAUGCCAAUAGCACAUUAGUGUUGUUGGGUAGGGGAGCGUCCUGCACGCGGUGAAGCAGCACUGGAAGGUGUUGUGGAGUGUGUGGGAGUGAGAAUGCAGGCAUGAGUAGCGAGUGAAGAGUGAGAAUCUCUUCCGCCGGAUGACCAAGGGUUCCUGGGGAAGGUUCGUCCGCCCAGGGUGAGUCGGGGCCUAAGGCGAGGCCGACAGGCGUAGUCGAUGGAUAACGGGUUGAUAUUCCCGUACCCGUGCAUACGCGUCCAUAGCGAAACCUUUGAUACUAACCAUCCG